rnacentral:rRNA from 1 species
ACCCGCCCCUCCUCGAAGGGUUUCGGGAUCUGUGAGCGAUGCCGCGUAUGGGAGGAACCUUGAGUGUGACCCGCUAUCCUGAAGUAUUUAUUGAAUGUUGUCUCACUGCCCAAAGAGGGUGUAAGGCCCGUAAGGUAUGCAAGAUGCGCUCGUUGGUUCCUCUCGAGAGUCGGGUUGCUUGAAAAUGCAGCCCUAAGUAGGUGGUAAACUCCAUCUAAGGCUAAAUAUUCUCACGAGACCGAUAGCGAACAAGUACCGCGAGGGAAAGUUGAAAAGAACUUUGAAAAGAGAGUUCAAUAGAGCGUGAAACUACCACGAGGUUAAAGCGAGUGAGCGUUCGUGUCCGAACGGCUUGAUUCAUUCUCCCAAUCCGUGGCGGCUAGAGGGUCGUAAUGCGUCAAUUAACGGAUCUCCCGAGGGCUAGUACGGAGGCCUCGUGCCUUUUAGUCUCGAGGGUUGACCGGCGUAUACCUCUAGUUUGCUCGGAAGGAGGGUGCACUUCCGG